AUGGUGUUUAUUCAUGACGGGGAGGGGAGACAGGUGCUCCAAUAAAGCCUCUCCCCCUCCAUCUCCAGGCUGGCAGGUUGAGGGCUCGGAGUAGGAAAUAAACUGAUUUUCAAAAAUAAAGAAGCUGAUAUGCCUUUCAGUCUUGGGUUUAAGGCCUGCAACUUGUCCUUGCCUCCUUGAUUCCAGGGUACAGACUCAUCCAAGGAAGGGAGGAUCUUUUCCUUUGACAUUAUUUCCUUUACAACUUGUACAAUCCUCUAUUCCUUUGGCAUUUCCAUUUAUUCAUUCAUUCCAUAAAUAUUAAUGGAAAGUCUGCAAUUUGUUAGGUACUGGGUUGAAUGCGGAGGAUUCAGUGGUGAACAAAGCCGGCCCCUGGCCCCACGGACCCUAUAGUCUCACCAGGGAGACAUAUAUUCAUCAAAUAAUUCUACAAAUAUUUAUAUAUACAUAUGUACACCUGGAUAAAGACUGAAAGGAAAACAGAUGCCGCUAUGAGGAUGCUGGUAACUCCAGGCAGAAGGAAAGUGCAAAGGAGAAGGGAGGCAGCACACAUUAUGCAGAGUGCGGAAUUUCCAAGCCCAGUGGUCAGGAAGAGUCAUCUUACCCCCAGCUCCAGGGUGAACUUUGAUGGGAUUGCUCCAAUCAGCCUAUCUUAUUACCCAGACCUUGGCAAUUGGUUCAGAGAGGGGCACUUGACCCAGUUUGGACCCAAGAGGAGACAUUUGCUGAGAACUUCUGAGCUAGACAGUUUGUCUCUCUUUCAUGGAAGCGUCUGGAAUUGAUACUCUCUCUUCCCUACCUUGAGUGGUGUGGCCUAAGAAGGUGGGCCUAGAAGUCCAGUGGUCAUUGUUACUAACAGGAGCACGGCUAGCUGAGACUGAAGCUGUACAGAGCAGAGUUGAGAGGCUGGCAGAAAACCUGAAUCAGAGUCCAGACUCUUUCAGGAACCUCUGGAUCAAAUCUUGCCCAAGGCUCAUGCCCCCUCUAGAAUUUCAGUUAAAUGAGUCAGUAAUUUAAGCCUAUUUGAGUCGUGUUAUCUGUUACUGGCGACCCAAAACAUCCUAAAUAAUACAUGCAUUUAAAAUAAUUGUAUUCUAUUCUAUUACAUGGAUGUGUGAAAAGCAUUUUCCUGUUUACUACCCAAUCUGACCUUUAAGCGGUCUUAUGAAGUAAACAAGUCUCUAUUUGGCAAGUGUAGAACUAAGGCCCGGAGAGGACAACUGAGCUAUCUAAAGUCACACAGCCAGUUAGUGGCAGAACCAGGCUCCCUGCCGUCUUGAGCAAAGCUUUUAAUGGUCAUCGAUUCCUCAAGGCAGAGACAUUAUGGACCAGUGAGUAAAAGAAUUCUGAAGGAUGGCACCGCAUCGUUAGGCUGACAGUCAGGAUGGGAAAGUGACAUGGCAUGUGAACCAGCUGCAUCCUGGAUUUGAAACCUAGGGUUUAAAGCAUGAAAAAGUUUAGAGAGAGAUUAGAGUACUGAUUCUCAAACUGUGGUCUGGGGACCCUGAGGGUUCCUGAGAUCUUUUCAAGAGAUUUGUGAGCUCAAAAGCAUUUUCAUAAUAACAUUAAAAUGAUAUUUUCUCUUUUAUUCUCAUUCUCUCGUAAGUGUGCAGUGGAGUUUUCCAGAGGCUACAUGACACGCGACACACAAGGGACUGAAUGCAGAAGGGAAUAGGAGAAUCCAGCUGUCUUCUAUUAAGCCAGACAUUAAACAGAUCUGCAGAAAUGUCAAACAAUGCCACUCUUC
rnacentral:lncRNA from 1 species